rfam:Stegodyphus mimosarum contig110755, whole genome shotgun sequence.
ACCUUCGUGGUGUAGUGGUCAGCGCGCUCGAUGCGUAUUCGAGAGGUUCGUGGUUCGAAUCCCGGCAAGGGCA